GUGGGGAAUCUUGCACAAUGGGGGCAACCCUGAUGCAGCGACGCCGCGUGAACGAUGAAGCCCUUCGGGGUGUAAAGUUCUUUCGGCAGGAACGAUAAUGACGGUACCUGAAGAAGAAGCUGCGGCUAACUACGUGCCAGCAGCCGCGGUAAUACGUAGGCAGCAAACGUUGUUCGGAGUUACUGGGCGUAAAGAGUACGUAGGCGGUUUGCCAAGUUUGGUGUGAAAUCUCCUGGCUUAACUGGGAGGGUGCGCCGAAUACUGGCGGGCUCGAGUAUUGGAGAGGGGAGCGGAAUUCCUGGUGUAGCGGUGAAAUGCGUAGAUAUCAGGAGGAACACCGGUGGUGUAGACGGCUCCCUGGACAAUCACUGACGCUGAGGUACGAAAGCGUGGGUAGCAAACAGGAUUAGAUACCCGAGUAGUCC
rnacentral:rRNA from 1 species